GCCCUUAGAGUUUGAUCCUGGCUCAGGAUGAACGCUGGCGGCGUGCCUAAUACAUGCAAGUCGAACGAGGCUCGAAGACUUCGGUUGGAGAUGUCCUAGUGGCGAACGGGUGAGUAACGCGUUGGUGACCUACCCCAAAGAGGGGGAUACCAGUUCGAAAGGACUGUUAAUACCCCAUAAUGUCGUCGUGAUUGAAUACGUGACGAAGAAAGGAGAAAUUCGCUUUGGGAGGGGCCUACGUCCCAUCAGCUAGUUGGUAAGGUAAUGGCUUACCAAGGCUAUGACGGGUAGGGGACCCGAGAGGGUGGCCCCCCACAAUGGAACUGAAACACGGUCCAUACACCUACGGGUGGCAGCAGUAGGGAAUAUUGCUUAAUGGGCGAAAGCCUGAAGCAGCAACGCCGCGUGCACGAUGAAGGCCUUCGGGUUGUAAAGUGCUUUUUGAGGGGAUGAGGAAGGACGGUACCCUCAGA
rnacentral:rRNA from 1 species